rnacentral:tRNA from 1 species
GCAGGGGGAGUAGUGGCUAGAGCUGUCAUCCUGCAGUGGAAGGACCUGGGUUCGAAUCCCUGCUCCUGCA